GCCUCCCUCUUUCUUCGUGCUUAACACAUGCAGGUCGAACGGAAAGGCCCUGCUUUUGUGGGGUGCUCGAGUGGCGAACGGGUGAGUAACACUUGAGUAACCUGCCCUUGACUUUGGGAUAACUUCAGGAAACUGGGGCUAAUACCGGAUAGGAGCUCCUGCUGCAUGGUGGGGGUUGGAAAGUUUCGGCGGUUGGGGAUGGACUCGCGGCUUAUCAGCUUGUUGGUGGGGUAGUGGCUUACCAAGGCUUUGACGGGUAGCCGGCCUGAGAGGGUGACCGGCCACAUUGGGACUGGGAUACGGCCCAGACUCCUACGGGAGGCAGCAGUGGGGAAUAUUGCACAAUGGGCGGAAGCCUGAUGCAGCAACGCCGCGUGCGGGAUGACGGCCUUCGGGUUGUAAACCGCUUUCGCCUGUGACGAAGCGUGAGUGACGGUAAUGGGUAAAGAAGCACCGGCUAACUACGUG
rnacentral:rRNA from 1 species